GAUGAACGCUGGCGGCGUGCCUAAUACAUGCAAGUCGAGCGAACAGACGAGGAGCUUGCUCCUCUGACGUUAGCGGCGGACGGGUGAGUAACACGUGGAUAACCUACCUAUAAGACUGGGAUAACUUCGGGAAACCGGAGCUAAUACCGGAUAAUAUAUUGAACCGCAUGGUUCAAUAGUGAGAGACGGUUUUGCUGUCACUUAUAGAUGGAUCCGCGCCGCAUUAGCUAGUUGGUAAGGUAACGGCUUACCAAGGCGACGAUGCGUAGCCGACCUGAGAGGGUGAUCGGCCACACUGGAACGGGGACACGGUCCAGACUCCUACGGGAGGCAGCAGUAGGGAAUCUUCCGCAAUGGGCGAAAGCCUGACGGAGCAACGCCGCGUGAGUGAUGAAGGUCUUCGGAUCGUAAAACUCUGUUAUUAGGGAAGAACAAAUGUGUAAGUAACUAUGCACGUCUUGACGGUACCUAAUCAGAAAGCCACGGCUAACUACGUG
rnacentral:rRNA from 1 species